rnacentral:rRNA from 1 species
GACGAACGCUGGCGGCGUGCCUAAUACAUGCAAGUAGAACGCUGAAGAGAGGAGCUUGCUCUUCUUGGAUGAGUUGCGAACGGGUGAGUAACGCGUAGGUAACCUGCCUUGUAGCGGGGGAUAACUAUUGGAAACGAUAGCUAAUACCGCAUAACAAUGGAUGACACAUGUCAUUUAUUUGAAAGGGGCAAUUGCUCCACUACAAGAUGGACCUGCGUUGUAUUAGCUAGUAGGUGAGGUAAUGGCUCACCUAGGCGACGAUACAUAGCCGACCUGAGAGGGUGAUCGGCCACACUGGGACUGAGACACGGCCCAGACUCCUACGGGAGGCAGCAGUAGGGAAUCUUCGGCAAUAGGGGCAACCCUGACCGAGCAACGCCGCGUGAGUGAAGAAGGUUUUCGGAUCGUAAAGCUCUGUUGUAAGUCAAGAACGGGUGUGAGAGUGGAAAGUUCACACUGUGACGGUAGCUUACUAGAAAGGGACGGCUAACUACGUG